UACGUAGGGUGCUAGCGUUAUCCGGAAUUAUUGGGCGUAAAGAGCUCGUAGGCGGUUUGUCGCGUCUGCCGUGAAAGUCCGGGGCUCAACUCCGGAUCUGCGGUGGGUACGGGCAGACUAGAGUGCAGUAGGGGAGACUGGAAUUCCUGGUGUAGCGGUGAAAUGCGCAGAUAUCAGGAGGAACACCGAUGGCGAAGGCAGGUCUCUGGGCUGUAACUGACGCUGAGGAGCGAAAGCAUGGGGAGCGAACAGG
rnacentral:rRNA from 1 species